UACGUAGGGCGCAAGCGUUGUCCGGAAUUAUUGGGCGUAAAGAGCUCGUAGGCGGUCUGUCACGUCGGGUGUGAAAGCCCACAGCUUAACUGUGGGUCUGCAUUCGAUACGGGCAGACUAGAGGCAGGUAGGGGAGAACGGAAUUCCCGGUGUAGCGGUGAAAUGCGCAGAUAUCGGGAGGAACACCGGUGGCGAAGGCGGUUCUCUGGGCCUGUACUGACGCUGAGGAGCGAAAGCGUGGGGAGCGAACAGG
rnacentral:rRNA from 1 species